GCCUGAAUGGCAUCGUGUUUUUGAGCGCCCGGCUACCAUUCUGGAGACCAGGGUUCAAUUCCCAGCUCCGCCA